rnacentral:rRNA from 1 species
GACGAACGCUGGCGGCGUGCUUAACACAUGCAAGUCGAACGGAAAGGCCCUGCUUUUGUGGGGUGCUCGAGUGGCGAACGGGUGAGUAACACGUGAGUAACCUGCCCUUGACUUUGGGAUAACUUCAGGAAACUGGGGCUAAUACCGGAUAGGAGCUCCUGCUGCAUGGUGGGGGUUGGAAAGUUUCGGCGGUUGGGGAUGGACUCGCGGCUUAUCAGCUUGUUGGUGGGGUAGUGGCUUACCAAGGCUUUGACGGGUAGCCGGCCUGAGAGGGUGGCCGGCGACAUGGGGACUGAGAUACGGCGCAGACGCCUACGGGAGGCAGCAGUGGGGAAUAUUGCACAAUGGGCGGAAGCCUGAUGCAGCGACGCCGCGUGCGGGAUGACGGCCUUCGGGUGGUAAACCGCUUUCGCCUGUGACGAAGCGUGAGUGACGGUAAUGGGUAAAGAAGCACCGGCUAACUACGUG